UACAGAGGGGCUAGCGUUGUUCGGAAUUACUGGGCGUAAAGGGCGCGUAGGUGGCCUGUUAAGUCGAACGUGAAAUCCCCGGGCUCAACCCGGGAACUGCGUCCGAGACUGGCAGGCUCGAAUCCGGGAGAGGGAUGUGGAAUUCCAGGUGUAGCGGUGAAAUGCGUAGAUAUCUGGAGGAACACCGGUGGCGAAGGCGGCAUCCUGGACCGGUAUUGACGCUGAGGCGCGAAAGCCAGGGGAGCAAAGCGGG
rnacentral:rRNA from 1 species